UUAAUGAUGGUCACAGGGGCAGCGCUCACCUGUGAUGGGGACAGGAGGAGGGUGAGCGCCCACAGGAGCUGCUGCAGCCAAUCCGCCUGGCACAGUUAAAGUUCUUGUCAUGCCUGGCUGAAGAGAAAUGGAGCUGUGCAGAAGUGGCGUGCAGGACUCCUGGGGUGAGCAGGGGUCACACAGGCUGCUGGGGACUCAGCACUUCCUCUCACACAGCACCGAGAAACCCAGCAGAGCUCCAGAGCCCCUUCCAGGAAAAUCAAGGAGGAGCGGGACUAGAAAUUCCUCCCAUCCCAAAGCUUAGCACAUCAUAUGUUCAUGCAUGUCAGCCCAAGGAGAAAACUCCACUAACGGAUGAUGGCAGCACGUCCUGAUGCCAGUACUGCCUGCACUUUGCUCCAUCUCUCCAUAGCUGUCACUGCUGUCCUGGAACAAUCUUGUGUAUUUUAGCGUGCCCAGCAGUUGGUGUUGCUGUCCCAGCUCCAUCCACCUCCCUGUGUUCACCCUCCCUGCAGGGCAGGGCAGGUGAGUGACCCUUCCUAGAGCAGGAUGCCGGCACUUCCCUGGCCGUGAGUCACUGGAAGAUGGGAAGUGGCUUCACACCAGCCAUUUCCAUCUAACUCAGGGCUCAGGAGUAUCCUGGCCUCAACAGAAACAGGUCAGGAUCCUCCAGUUUUCCCUGGUGUAAGACUGCUCCAGAGCAUGCAACACGAUGAAGAUGUUACAUGAUUUUCACCUAACAGAGAGGCCAAUCCAAUAUGUGAUCCUUGUUUUGGUCCAUGUGUCCAAACAGUUUCAUGUAAACUGCAGGAGUUAUUAGAAAGAAUCCAAUAUUCUUAUUCAGUGGAAAGUGGUGAGGUACAUAUUUAAUACUCUUUACUUAAAAUAAGUCAGCAUCUUUGUGAAGCAAAGUCUGUAGCCAUUUCUCAUCAUACUCUGCUUUCCCGGCUUAGCACAACAGAUGUCCACUCAGCUUCAAAAAACAGUUCUCCCAAAAUAAUCUGUCAAUGUGUUCUUGUAUAGCCUAAAACCUGGCUGAUGUGACUUAGCGUAGCUUUCAAAUGGAUCUGUAAGCCAUACUACAUAUGCUAACUGCGUCUUGUUCUCUUGGCUAACUUAACACUUCCAGUACUUUGACACUAACAAAAGCCUUAGGGUAUCCUAAUACUUAAUCGUCAGAGUUCGGCCAUGUAGGGCUCUUAAACUGUAUGAGAUCAAUGCAGCAUAAGUUCACUAAUGUUCGCCUUAUCACCUUGACUACAUACACUCCCAGCUAGGAGACGAAUGUACUACAGAUCGAUUGCUUUUAUUACUUAUUAACACAAGGUGCUCUGUGUUCUACAUUAAAGGCAAGCUAUUUUAUUGCGGAGAGUGAUAGAAACUCAUAGCUGGUUUUCAUAUGUCUACAAAACCAUUCUUGUAGCAACACCGCCAUGAAGUCACAGUCCAUUGAGCAGGGAACAGUUGUGUCCUCCCUUUACUUCCAC